rnacentral:rRNA from 1 species
UGGGGAAUUUUGGACAAUGGGCGAAAGCCUGAUCCAGCAAUGCCGCGUGUGUGAAGAAGGCCUUCGGGUUGUAAAGCACUUUUGCCCGGAAAGAAAUCCUUGGCUCUAAUACAGUCGGGGGAUGACGGUACCGGAAGAAUAAGCACCGGCUAACUACGUGCCAGCAGCCGCGGUAAUACGUAGGGUGCAAGCGUUAAUCGGAAUUACUGGGCGUAAAGCGUGCGCAGGCGGUUUGCUAAGACCGAUGUGAAAUCCCCGGGCUCAACCUGGGAACUGCAUUGGUGACUGGCAGGCUAGAGUAUGGCAGAGGGGGGUAGAAUUCCACGUGUAGCAGUGAAAUGCGUAGAGAUGUGGAGGAAUACCGAUGGCGAAGGCAGCCCCCUGGGCCAAUACUGACGCUCAUGCACGAAAGCGUGGGGAGCAAACAGGAUUAGAUACCCUGGUAGUCCACGCCCUAAACGAUGUCAACUAGUUGUUGGGGAUUCAUUUCCUUAGUAACGUAGCUAACGCGU